rnacentral:rRNA from 1 species
GACGAACGCUGGCGGCGUGCUUAACACAUGCAAGUCGAACGGAAAGGCCCUGCUUUUGUGGGGUGCUCGAGUGGCGAACGGGUGAGUAACACGUGAGUAACCUGCCCUUGACUUUGGGAUAACUUCAGGAAACUGGGGCUAAUACCGGAUGGGAGCUCCUGCUGCAUGGUGGGGGUUGGAGAGUUUCGGCGGUUGGGGAUGGACGCGCGGCUUAUCAGCUUGUUGGUGGGGUAGUGGCUUACCAAGGCUUUGACGGGUAGCCGGCCGGAGAGGGUGACCGGCAUCAUGGCGAAGGAGAGGCGGCGCAGCCUCCGGGGGGCGGCAGCGGUGGGGAAUAUUCAACAGGGGGCGGACGGAUGCAGCGGCAACGCCGGGGGGGGGAUGGCGGCCUGCGUGUAGUAACCUUUUUCCGCGGGCGACGAGGCUUUGGUGACGGUAAUGGGUAAAGAGGCACCGCCAACUUAGGU